UUUCCCUGGCCUCCUCUCUCCUCCCCUUCCUUCCUCUAACGGCAGCACACAGUCCGCUCACACACACACCAUCUCCGAGAGACGCACACAAUUCAAGACUACUGGAAAGCCGAAAUUCUGGGUAUCGAAUAAAACAAGGCGUCCUCUAACCAAGCAGCAGCAGAUGUGGUAGUGGCAGAUUUCCAGACCAGCUAGAUUCUCCUACGGGCCAAAAGCAAUAGAUUCGUCACUCUCCGAUCUCUUCCGACCGAACCCAGAAUGCUCUUUGGGAACAAUAUCAGCAGAUGAACAGCAACCGGUGCAAAUGCCGUCUAAAUGUCUAUGAGUUGCAUUCGAACAUUCAGUACGGGAUAACUGCGAAUUCCAUUCUGUUCCUUUGCCAGACAAACUGUCUCGAGAAUGCUGACACCCUCAACAAAAUCCUCUCUAUUUACAAAAUCAAAUUCUUCUGCCAACUGUUGACCAGCAGGAAUCGUGAGAUAUUCGUCUCCGAUCAAUUCCGACCGAGACUAGAAGACCUUUGGGAGGAAGAGGAACAGAGUCGGUGCUGAUUUCGUCUAAAUAUCCAUGAGUUUUAUUCACACGUCGAAUCGAGGAUAACCGCGAACUGACUUCUGGUCCUUGGCCAGACCAACUGUCUCAAGAAUACUUACACCCUCAAGAAGAACAUCUCUAUACCCGAAAGCAAAUUCUACCAACUGUUAACCCGCA